GUGUCAAAGACUCCAAGCCCUCACUGGCGCUUCAAAAUAACGGAGCUAACAUCAUCUCAGAGCAGCAGUGCGCAUGGGGAUGAGCCUCCACCAAGGCAUCGGUACCGAAUGGAGCAAGACGCACCAAAACACUGCUCUGGAUGAACGUAACGUGUUCAUGUGUUUACUGUUCGCAGCAACCAAAGGACCCCCGCCCCCUUCCUUCUUCUGAAACAUCUUCCUCCUCCUUUUCUUCCCCACGUCACUCAGGAACCGAACCUGCAGCUCAGGUCCAGGCUGCCGCCUGCAACCGGACACGUUCCCGGUUUCACCGUGGAGUCACCGCGACAUCAUGACCUCGGUUCUCUCCCAGGGUGGCUCAGUUUGAGGACUGGAGUCUGCUCAUCGUCACAGCUGCGACGACCCUCCUCCGUGCACGAGGGCGGCUUUGCACUCCACCACAACCGGAUCUGAUGUUGGCGGAGAUGAUCGCCGAGGGAGUCCCAUCUCACAACCACCUUCUCCUCGCGCCUCCAGAAGACCUCAUAACACCUGGAGCUUCACCCUGGUGGGUGACAGCGACCCGAUGGCAGCCGGUUUAUUACCGAAGAGAAGGCAGGAGAAGGAGGAGUGCGGCUGAUCCUCAGAGUAAGGAGGGAUGUCAUUCGGUUCCGAUCCAAAACAGUCGCAGGGACAGCCGCAGCGGAGGAGGACGGCCUGGUCGGGGGACAGCGGACAGAACCGGGACAAGGUAGGAAAGAGAGAAUGAGAAGGAGGAGAUGGAGGGAGGAUGACAGGAUGUGCAGAGAAGGGAAAAAAAAUGAAAGGCAGGAAAGAUUAAAAGAAGAAUGAGGGAGGGAAUGAAGGAUGUUGAGCGGAGGCAAUAAAGGGAGUGAGGAAAGGAUGAAGGAUAUAAAGCAGGAAAGAAGCGGGGGAUGAGUGUUAAAAGAGAGAGCAGGGAUAGAAAAAGAAAGGAUUGAAGAAAACAAAAGGGGAGGAGACUCAAAAACAACAGAUGGAGGUGGACUCGGUGUAGCCAAGCAGAAACAGGAAAGAAGAAGAAGAAGAGGAGGCAGUAAAGUCAGAGAGCUCGGCCAUGGCUUCAGCAGCCGGAGGGGGGAGGCUGUUUGGUCUGGAGGCGAGACAAGAAGAUGAGCCCGGUGGAAGGCGCCCGGUCCCGGCGGCGGACUGCCCGGCCGUCGGCACUCGACUGUCGGCCCGAGCCGACAGGAAGGAGCGCUGUCCUUACAGCAGGCAGCAGACCCUGGAGCAGUAGAACGAGUUCCUCUGCAGCAUGUACCUGAGCCGACAGCGCCACCUGGAGACCAGCAGGAGCGUCGACCUGAGCGACCUGCAGGUGAAGAACCGGAGGAUGAGGAUGAGGAAGCAGCAUGCGCGCUAACCGGAGCAGCGAGACCCUCACCUCAGCACCCGAUGGACUGAUGGAGGAGAGGACCUUCCGGCUCGCACUGCAUCGCGCUGGAAAACACAGAGAGGAUGAGGAAGACGAGGGUGUGUGUAAUGUCAGCCCUAUGUAGCUGCAGCUUCACACACAGGGCUCGAGUUACAGCGCCGGCCGGCUGGCAUCAGAUCAGUCAGUUUAAAUCAAAUGUUACCACCUAAACUUCUUAUAUCCGCCCUGGUGUUAUUUCUAGUUGAGGACAAAGUGGAGUGAGGACAGUUUAACGGGACAUCCUUGUGAUAAAUUAUCAUGGGAAUCAGAAUAUGAGCGUGUGGAGAUCCUGGCUGCAGAUGACAAUCGGCUCACUUUGGCGGAUUUCUCUCUUUUCAUCUAACAUCUUACAUCUAAUGUGGACUCUUGCUUUGGACUGUUGUGGCCCGCAUUGAGGAUUCAAGUCCGAGCCAACGAACCGCACACAGACAUGAAUGGAGGAGGAGACGGCCUCAGAGGAGAGUGUAGGCUGGAUAUAUAUUAGGGGGCAACUUGGACUCAGUCUGCCUGUCUUCAUCUAAUGGGAUCCUCGACUAGGAAACCAUCCCCUGAAAUUAUUCCUAAAUUAAAUUCUUCUAUUCUACUGACCUCGGGCCGUCCCUGCUUCCUCACAGAGCUCUUGGUGAAUCAGCUCCAGAGGUUUUCCAAACUUCUUUUCGCAUCGGGGUCACACAGUUUGAUAUUCAUUAAGUCAAGCAGAAACCUGGUGCUGAAGGGAUUUUACUUGUUAGAUAUGAUUUACUGCUGCAGUCUGACCUCCUGCUGCUGGAUUCAGUCACAUGCACUCUAAUCAUUUGAUUAUAACCAGAGGACGGCAAUACUUCCAGUCUUGCAACUGUCGCAUAAAAACCUUAACCGAGUUAUUGUACUAGCGUGACGAUUCAACUGUAAUUCAAUUAACAUGGAUUUGCAUUUGUCAAUCUUUCAUAUGACUCCUGGCAUAUAUAAAACAGUCUGCGUUCUUUAGGUGUUCUUAUUCUGUGCCACAAAUGUGAACUGGAUGCAAAGCAAUGGAAAGUUUUGGGUGGUUACAGUGAAACUGAUAAAAUAAUCUGACACUGCAAGUAAUAGAGUUUGUGCUAAUGUGUUCUGUAAAGUCAUAAACUAGAAACAAUAAAAUGCAACAAAAUUCCCUCA